rnacentral:rRNA from 1 species
GACGAACGCUGGCGGCGUGCUUAACACAUGCAAGUCGAACGGACAGGCCCUGCUUUUGUGGGGUGCUCGAGUGGCGAACGGGUGAGUAACACGUGAGUAACCUGCCCUUGACUUUGGGAUAACUUCAGGAAACUGGGGCUCAUACCCGGUAGGAGCUCCUGCUGCAUGGUGUGGGUUGGAAAGUUUCGGCGGUUGGGGAUGGACUCGCGGCUUAUGAGCUUGUUGGUGGGGUAGUGGCUUACCAAGGCUUUGACGGGUAGCCGGCCUGAGAGGGUGACCGGCGACAUGGGGACUGAGAGACGGCCCAGACUCGUACGGGAGGCAGUAGGGGGGAAUAUUGCAGAAUGGGCGGAAGUCUGAGGCAGCAACGUCGCGUGCGGGAUGACGGCCUUCGGGUGAUAAACCGCUGUCGCAUGUGACGAAGAGGGAGUGACGGUAAUGGGUAAAGAAGCACCGGCUAACUACGUG